GCAUGCGGCGGCCUACCAUGCAGUCGAGCGGAAACAAAUAGUAGCUUGCUACUCUGGCGUCGAGCGGCGGACGGGUGAGUAAUGCUUGGGAACAUGCCUUGAGGUGGGGGACAACAGUUGGAAACGACUGCUAAUACCGCAUAAUGUCUACGGACCAAGGGGGGCUUCGGCUCUCGCCUUUAGAUUGGCCCAAGUGGGAUUAGCUAGUUGGUGAGGUAAUGGCUCACCAAGGCGACGAUCCCUAUCUGGUUUGAGAGGAUGAUCACCCACACUGGGACUGAGACACGGCCCACACUCCUACGGGAGGCAGCAGUGGGGAAUAUUGCACAAUGGGCGCAAGCCUGAUGCACCCAUGCCGCGUGUGUGAAAAAGGCCUUCGGGUUGUAAAGCACUUUCAGUCAGGAGGAAAGGUUAGUAGUUAAUACCUGCUAGCUGUGACGUUACUGACAGAAGAAGCACCGGCUAACUCCGUGCCAGCAGCCGCGGUAAUACGGAGGGUGCGAGCGUUAAUCGGAAUUACUGGGCGUAAAGCGUACGCAGGCGGUUUGUUAAGCGAGAUGUGAAAGCCCCGGGCUCAACCUGGGAACUGCAUUUCGAACUGGCAAACUAGAGUGUGAUAGAGGGUGGUAGAAUUUCAGGUGUAGCGGUGAAAUGCGUAGAGAUCUGAAAGAAUACCGAUGGCGAAGGCAGCCACCUGGGUCAACACUGACGCUCAUGUACGAGAGCGUGGAGAGCAAACAGGAUUAUAUACCCUGGUACACA
rnacentral:rRNA from 1 species